UACCGAGGGUGCGAGCGUUGUCCGGAAUCACUGGGCGUAAAGGGCGCGUAGGCGGCUUGAUAAGCGUGCGGUGAAAGCCCGGGGCUCAACCCCGGGUCGGCCGUGCGAACUGUCGAGCUGGAGCACUGUAGAGGCAGGUGGAAUUCCGGGUGUAGCGGUGGAAUGCGUAGAGAUCCGGAAGAACACCGGUGGCGAAGGCGGCCUGCUGGGCAGUGGCUGACGCUGAGGCGCGACAGCGUGGGGAGCAAACAGG
rnacentral:rRNA from 1 species